rnacentral:lncRNA from 12 species
UAAUUUAACACAUUGUGGGUGCAGAAGUCUUCAUACCCAGCUGUCUCACUCUUUCCCUUGGCUUCGUUCUGCAGGUGAACUGCACAGAGGGGAUUGACACGGGCCACCUGCUGGGCGUCUGCUCUGGGCAUGACCAGGAAGACUCACUGAAGGUACGUGGGUGAGAACAUUUAAGAGCGGUUCCUUCUUUUGAAGAAUGGUUAAGUGAUCGCUGUGAACAUUGAAUUGUGUUUGUAUCAUAUGGUAAGGCACAUCUGAACCCAUCCUGAUAUUUGUGUAGGUUGGAAUCAGAGCCGGUCUUUAUAACUCCCAGAGGUCAGCUUUCUCAUUUGAUCUUCAAGGUCACCAGGAUAUCUCCAGGUGCAGUAGUCUUGUAGGAAAUUUCACAAUUUUUUUUUUUCUGUGUCUUAUUGGUUGAAUGUACAGCACAUGUAUGAGUAGACUAUCUAAGUAACUCUUGUCUUUUUUAGCAUUGGACUAAUGGUGAACAUUUCCCACAACAUAUCUGCUUUGCAUACAUACCUGCCAUCUGAGUUUCACUUAAAAUCACAGUUGAGCCACACACGCUCUUCAGUAAAAGGUACUGCAGAACUUCUGGUCGGUGUGAGCGGUUUGGCUUUUGAAGCAGAGAUCUCGAGUACAAACUCUGGCUUUAAACAAGUGCUGAUGUUCAAUCACUCAAUACCUCAGCUACACUUGUUGCCCAGGAAUCUGGCAUUGAGGACACGCUACGGUGGAAAAAGAGGGUCACACACUCUCACGCAUCGAGCACAGUGGGAGAAUCAGGAUUUAACACAGACCGAUGGUGUCACACAGUUACAAAGUUAUCCAGAACUGUCAGGUGGAUAUGCCACAUAG